AACGAACGCUGGCGGCAUGCCUAACACAUGCAAGUCGAACGAAGUCUUCGGACUUAGUGGCGCACGGGUGCGUAACGCGUGGGAAUCUGCCCUUGGGUGCGGAAUAACUUCUCGAAAGGGAUGCUAAUACCGCAUAAUGUCGUAAGACCAAAGAUUUAUCGCCCAAGGAUGAGCCCGCGUAAGAUUAGCUAGUUGGUGGGGUAAAAGCCUACCAAGGCGACGAUCUUUAGCUGGUCUGAGAGGAUGAUCAGCCACACUGGGACUGAGACACGGCCCAGACUCCUACGGGAGGCAGCAGUGGGGAAUAUUGGACAAUGGGCGAAAGCCUGAUCCAGCAAUGCCGCGUGAGUGAUGAAGGCCCUAGGGUUGUAAAGCUCUUUUACCAGGGAGUGAUAAUGACAGUACCUGGAGAAUAAGCUCCGGCCUAACUCCGUGCCAGCAGCCGCGGUAAU
rnacentral:rRNA from 1 species